rnacentral:rRNA from 1 species
CAGUAGCCGCGGUAAUACGAAGGUCCCGAGCGUUGUUCGGAAUCACUGGGCGUAAAGGGAGCGUAGGCGGCGUGGUAAGUCAGAUGUGAAAUCCCGGGGCUCAACCCCGGAACUGCAUCCGAUACUGCCAUGCUAGAGGAUUGGAGAGGUAGCUGGAAUUCUUGGUGUGGCAGUGAAAUGCGUGGAGAUCAAGAGGAACACUCGUGGCGAAAGCGAGCUACUGGACAAUAACUGACGCUGAGGCUCGAAGGCCAGGGUAGCGAAAGGGAUUAGAUACCCCAGUAGUCCCUGUCUCUUAUAA